rnacentral:misc_RNA from 1 species
GGCGUCGAAGCCUGUAAAGCGGCGGUGCACAAUCUUCUCGCGCAACGCGUCAGUGGGCUGAUCAUUAACUAUCCGCUGGAUGACCAGGAUGCCAUUGCUGUGGAAGCUGCCUGCACUAAUGUUCCGGCGUUAUUUCUUGAUGUCUCUGACCAGACACCCAUCAACAGUAUUAUUUUCUCCCAUGAAGACGGUACGCGACUGGGCGUGGAGCAUCUGGUCGCAUUGGGUCACCAGCAAAUCGCGCUGUUAGCGGGCCCAUUAAGUUCUGUCUCGGCGCGUCUGCGUCUGGCUGGCUGGCAUAAAUAUCUCACUC